AUUGAACGCUGGCGGCAUGCCUUACACAUGCAAGUCGAACGGCAGCACGGGUGCUUGCACCUGGUGGCGAGUGGCGAACGGGUGAGUAAUAUAUCGGAACGUACCUUAUCGUGGGGGAUAACGCAGCGAAAGCUGCGCUAAUACCGCAUACGCCCUGAGGGGGAAAGCGGGGGACCGUAAGGCCUCGCGCGAUUAGAGCGGCCGAUAUCUGAUUAGCUUGUUGGUGGGGUAAAAGCCCACCAAGGCGACGAUCAGUAGCUGGUCUGAGAGGACGAUCAGCCACACUGGGACUGAGACACGGACCAGACUCCUACGGGAGGCAGCAGUGAGGAAUAUUGGACAAUGGGGCGCAAGCCUGAUCCAGCCAUGCCGCGUGCAGGAAGAAGCAUCUAUGGUGUGUAAACUGCUUUUGUACGGGAAGAAACACUCCUUCGUGAAGGAGCUUGACGGUACCGUAAGAAUAAGGAUCGGCUAACUCCGUG
rnacentral:rRNA from 1 species